rnacentral:lncRNA from 1 species
CAGAGUGGGUAUCCAGUAUCCGCAGAGUGCAGAAGCAGAGGCCCCUGGGGAAGACCUGGUGGAGCUGAGAGUGAGAGCAGACCCAUCUCUCCUCUACCAUGCGUUGUCAAGAAGCCCAAGGAGGCCAGGGUGAAGACACAGACAUGGGAGGAAGUGACAUAGAGAUGGAGACAUAAAGUCUCCAUGCUUCCUCCCAUGCCUGUGACUGCAAGGAGACGUCCGGGUGGGUGACUCUCUUUUUAGAAUGUAGAAGGUAGACUGGGAAGGACAAGAGAGAACGCUAAACCCAUAUGGACAAGCCAGGUUCUGGUAUGUGUGUAUAAUGGAGGAGUUGAGUCUUUUCUCAGAAACACAGUGUCAUAGCAUUGGCUUCUAGCACAUUGGGCAGUGAGCCCCUUUUGUUUGAAAACACACUGUUCACUGUUCCAACUAAGGAAGCUGUUCUGGUGCAUUGAAAAGUGACUGCAAGGAGAUCGUCUGGGUGGGAGACUCUCUUUUUAGAAUGUAGAGGGUAGACUGGGAAGGACAAGAGAGAAUGCUAAACCCAUACAGACAAGCUGGGUUCAGGUAAGUGUGUAUAAUGGAGGAGCUGAGUGUGUUAAGAUGUUGAAAGGCAGGAGGAGUACAGCUUUCCAAGAAGCCUGGUCCUGAUGUGGCCUACAGAGAGUCUUCUGCGUGACCACAUUCUUCUCAGAACUCUGAGCUCUGUCAGGGAGUAAGAUGAAUUCUCAGGCUUGCUGGGCCCACCUCUGCUACCUUCUCUCCAUCCAUCCAAUUAGACCAGGACUGAGCCACACUGACCUGGCGAGAAUGUUGAGGGUUUGCUGAGAAUUUCGUUAGGUGUGCAAAUGGUAUGAAGAUGAUGCUAAAAACAAGUCUAUCAGCUGGAGAUACUCAGAUGAAUGGACAGAGUUUCUGAGAUCUGCUAUUAAAUUAUUUAGGGGGAAAAUGUAUGUGUUGCGGGAGCACAAGGGAAAAGUUAGCAAGAUGGUAAUUGUUGAGGUUGGGUGUAACGAGGUGCACCCUCAGCCUCGCUGGACACUUACGGCUCGCAUUCUCCAGCCGGACCAGGCAGUUGAGGAAGUCAUCGAAGUCCAGCUGGAGCUCCUCAUCCGCAUACCUGAGCACAAUCAGCUGCAGGAGGUGGCUGCUCAGCUGAAAGCCUGUGGGGACAAAGGAGGAGACCCAGGACUCGCUGUAUCCGAGCCCCGAGGUGAGUCUGCACCUUUGAGGGAGCUCCCAGGCAGCUGAGGAGAGGGCUCAGAAGAGGAAGCCACUGUUUCACUCCUCAAAGCUGGGGUCCCCAGACCCAGUGGGACUGCUGCCCUUGGUGUGAAUGCAGCGUGAGAGUGUGAAUCUGUGGUGCAGGGGCGAGUGUGCGGGGGACUCUCAGGCGUGCUUUCUGUGUUUAAUGGCUUCUGAGUUUAGCGAGUUUGUGAUCUUAAUUUUGAUGCUAACAUCACCCAUAGAGUCUCGCUGACUUUACAGGAAGCUUUGUUUGGGGGAACUUAACACUGGGUGGUGUCUGAGCCCCAAGUUCAUUCCUACACCAGCCUCCCCUCGCGUUCUAUGUCUCAGGUCACUUCCAGCUGUGGCCCUAGAAAGUUUCUUGGAGGGGAUGCUGCUGCCCACGGAGAAUGAUACUCUGCCAGGGCCCAUUCCUACACAUCCACGAUGGGGGAAGAAUGACAGGCUAUAGCCAGGAGGCUUGGAUCUGAGCCCUGGCACUGCUCCAGCCGUGGCAUAUGGGUUCAGUUCUCUGGGCUUUGGUUUCCUCAUUGUCAAAUGAGGAGUUUAGACAAAGUGAACUUCCUUCUGGAUUUGAUAUUUAGAUUUUUUUUUUUGAGAUGGAGUUUCACUCUUGUUGCCCAGGCUGGAGUGCAGUGGUGCAAUCUCGGCUCAGUGCAACUUCUGGAUUCUUCUGCUGCAGCCUCCUGAGUAGCUGGGACUACAGGCACCUGCCACCACAACUGGUUAAUUUUGUAUUUUUAGUAGAGGCGGGGUUUCAUCAUGUUGGCCAGGCUGAUCUCAAACUCCUGACCUCAUGAUCCACCCACCUAGGCCUCCCAAAGUGCUAGCAUUACAGGUGUGAGCCACCACACCUGGCCAGUGCUUUGAUUUCUAAUUAGUGCCCUUAGAAGUGAUUUCUUUCCCCCUUUCAUUUUUGUCUACAUGUUCACUUUCUAGGAGGUGUUCACAGGAUUGUUCAGAAAUCCACCCAGGGUCUUUCUGCUUCUUCCUAAUUCCAGCAGAGGAGCAGGCAGGUCAGACACAGAGCACAGAGUCCCUGGAGCCUGCACGGCAGUGCUGGCUGCCAGCCUUGGCCAGAAUCCUGAUGUUUGGGGCUAGAGGAGGGGGAUGAGGGGCGAUUCUCCCCACACCACGUCAGGGUAGGAAAGACACAGCCAUGCCCCUCCUCUCUG